rnacentral:rRNA from 1 species
AUUGAACGCUGGCGGCAUGCCUUACACAUGCAAGUCGAACGGCAGCACGGGAGCAAUCCUGGUGGCGAGUGGCGAACGGGUGAGUAAAGUAUCGGAACGUGCCCAGUCGUGGGGGAUAACGUAGCGAAAGUUACGCUAAUACCGCAUACGAUCUAUGGAUGAAAGCGGGGGAUCGCAAGACCUCGCGCGAUUGGAGCGGCCGAUAUCAGAUUAGGUAAUUGGUGGGGUAAAGGCUCACCAAGCCGACGAUCUGUAGCUGGUCUGAGAGGACGACCAGCCACACUGGGACUGAGACACGGCCCAGACUCCUACGGGAGGCAGCAGUGGGGAAUUUUGGACAAUGGGCGCAAGCCUGAUCCAGCCAUGCCGCGUGCAGGAUGGAGGCCUUCGGGUUGUAAACUGCUUUUGUACGGAACGAAAAGGUUUGACUUAAUACGUUGAACUCAUGACGGUACCGUAAGAAUAAGCACCGGCUAACUACGUGCCAGCCGCCGCCGUAA